rnacentral:rRNA from 1 species
ACGAACGCUGGCGGCGUGCUUAACACAUGCCAGUCGAACGGAAAGGCCCUGCUUGCAGGGUACUCGAGUGGCGAGCGGGUGAGUAACACGUGGGUGAUCUGCCCUGCACUUCGGGAUAAGCUUGGGAAACUGGGUCUAAUACCGGAUAGGAGCCAUCUUUAGUGUGGUGGUUGGAAAGUUUUUUCGGUGUAGGAUGAGCUCGCGGCCUAUCAGCUUGUUGGUGGGGUAAUGGCCUACCAAGGCGGCGACGGGUAGCCGGCCUGAGAGGGUGUACGGCCACAUUGGGACUGAGAUACGGCCCAGACUCCUACGGGAGGCAGCAGUGGGGAAUAUUGCACAAUGGGCGCAAGCCUGAUGCAGCGACGCCGCGUGGGGGAUGAAGGCCUUCGGGUUGUAAACUCCUUUCGCUAGGGACGAAGCUUUUUUGUGACGGUACCUAGAUAAGAAGCACCGGCUAACUACGUG